UACGUAGGGUGCGAGCGUUAAUCGGAAUUGCUGGGCGUAAAGCGUGCGCAGGCGGUUUGAUAAGACAGGCGUGAAAUCCCCGAGCUUAACUUGGGAAUGGCGCUUGUGACUGUCAGGCUAGAGUGCGUCAGAGGGGGGUAGAAUUCCACGUGUAGCAGUGAAAUGCGUAGAGAUGUGGAGGAAUACCGAUGGCGAAGGCAGCCCCCUGGGACGUGACUGACGCUCAUGCACGAAAGCGUGGGGAGCAAACAGGG
rnacentral:rRNA from 1 species